GGGGAACGUUCCAUAGAGACUGGUUUGGUAGAACUAACCCCUCACAGUUACCCACAGUUUCUAAGCUAGACAGUCACGAAUGCACGGGAGACGAGGAAUUUUUGGAGCUGUGUCCAAAGUUCCAGUUGAAGAAUGGAAAUGGGGACAAGGAGAUAGCCUUAACUUGUUUUGAAAGCGAUCCCACGUAUGUUUCACUUGAACAAUGGACUGCUGGAACAGUGGUUAUUGAGGCUUUUGAGGUGCUACAGGGUGGGGUUUGUGGUACAGGGUGGACUAAUAGUGCUACAACGGUAGCUUGCCGGAGCAUAAAUCCAUUGUGGACGAGAGCGAGGGAAUGUACCAACAACUGUUUUUCGUCAAGUAUAACAGACAUCACUACAAAUCAUAUCCACUGUUCCGGAGACGAGCCUCAUCUGUUUUACUGUGAGAAUAAAGGGUGGGGUUACAAUGCCGACUGUGACACUAGCAAUCUUGUAGGCAUAGUGUGUAAUCCAUGAUCUUGACAGUAAUAGUACUGCGGCGCAAACAAAAACCAAUUCAAUGCAUAUACACAUGAAUGCUUAUAUUGGCAGCAUGACAUAAAGUUAUUUCAGGGGUGUUUGAGAAAAUGUCUAACC